UUAAUUUUUUUUCCCUCCAGUAUUAGGAAUAACAAGUUUUCACCAAAUUGCACUCUCUUACUGGCCAACUCUCUCAACCUGUGUGAGCGAAUCAGAGAAGUAGAAGUCAGGUCAAGUGAAAAUGCUUUUUUGCAUUUAGCGGGGAGGAUAGAAGGCCAAGAAACAUCCUGCAGGCUGACUGACUGCAGCAUCGGUCAGAACGAGGUUGAGGAACUCUGCCGAAUCCUUGAACAAUAUGGCCGUCUUGCAGAACUGGAGUAAGUAGGCUUUGACUUUCCACUGUGGCCUUGAAAGGAAGGUGAACGGAGCCAGUGAGGGAAAGCUGGGUGGAUACAGAUAGGUGUCUUCAUACACAUGAGCCCCGGAGGCUCACUCUGUCUGUAUAUCCAGUGUCUAACAGCAUAUAAACAAAGAGGGAAGUGAAAAGAACCCAUGAUACCUACUGCGGGGAGUUGAUCUGUUAGAGGAGAGGUGUCUUCCCUGGUAAGAGUCCAUUAUGUAACAGUCACGGCAGGUCACAACCUAACUGCAUGUGUGUGGCUGCCAGCAGAAGCUGGCCAUUUGGGUUCUAGAUCUGUCGUUGGCGUUGCAGGAA